rnacentral:rRNA from 1 species
UGCGGAGGAUGCAAGCGUUAUCCGGAAUGAUUGGGCGUAAAGCGUCCGCAGGUGGCAAUGUAAGUCUGCUGUCAAAGCGUCUGGCUCAACCAGAUAAAGGCAGUGGAAACUACAUAGCUAGAGUAAGGUAGGGGUAGAGGGAAUUCCUGGUGUAGCGGUGAAAUGCGUAGAGAUCAGGAAGAACACCGGUGGCGAAAGCGCUCUGCUGGACCUUAACUGACACUGAGGGACGAAAGCUAGGGGAGCGAAUGGG